CAUACAUCCGGCACAUCCAGUAAAUCCAGUAGAACUGCAACCAGCAGAAACUGAUCCACAAUGUAUAGAAAUGUGUCAGACUAACAUAGCACCUGAAAAAUGUCACUGUGCUGAACAUUUAUGUGAUAUACAACAGUGUCUUGGUGUUGAAGUAUGCCGUUUAGUUAGGGAGAGAGGUAUGGUGGAAGCUUUAUGUUUACCAGUUGAUUCCGGUACUGGUCAAGCUGCUGGCCAAAGUCAUGGAAUCCAUCACACGACAGGUUGUGGAUUACCAAUGGAUGUAGGUAUACCAUGUGGAGGACCUUCGACUACUGCGUACUAUUUUGAUGUUAUGACC